rnacentral:rRNA from 1 species
CCUACGGGGGGCAGCAGUGGGGAAUAUUGGACAAUGGGGGGAACCCUGAUCCAGCCAUGCCGCGUGUGUGAAGAAGGCCCUCGGGUUGUAAAGCACUUUCAGUGAGGAAGAACGCCUGGUGGUUAAUACCCAUCAGGAAAGACAUCACUCACAGAAGAAGCACCGGCUAACUCCGUGCCAGCAGCCGCGGUAAUACGGAGGGUGCGAGCGUUAAUCGGAAUUACUGGGCGUAAAGCGCGCGUAGGUGGCUUGAUAAGCCGGUUGUGAAAGCCCCGGGCUCAACCUGGGAAUGGCAUCCGGAACUGUCAAGCUAGAGUGCAGGAGAGGAAGGUAGAAUUCCCGGUGUAGCGGUGAAAUGCGUAGAGAUCGGGAGGAAUACCAGUGGCGAAGGCGGCCUUCUGGACUGACACUGACACUGAGGUGCGAAAGCGUGGGUAGCAAACAGGAUUAGAUACCCUUGUAGUC